rnacentral:rRNA from 1 species
CUGUAAGACUGGGAUAACUCCGGGAAACCGGGGCUAAUACCGGAUAACUCAUUUCCUCGCAUGAGGAAAUGUUGAAAGGUGGCUUUUAGCUAUCACUUACAGAUGGACCCGCGGCGCAUUAGCUAGUUGGUGAGGUAACGGCUCACCAAGGCGACGAUGCGUAGCCGACCUGAGAGGGUGAUCGGCCACACUGGGACUGAGACACGGCCCAGACUCCUACGGGAGGCAGCAGUGGUCAUAG